AUUGAACGCUGGCGGCAGGCCUAACACAUGCAAGUCGAGCGGAUGCAGGGAGCUUGCUCCUGGAUUCAGCGGCGGACUGGUGAGUAAUGCCUAGGAAUCUGCCUGUUAGUGGGUAUAACGUCCGGAACCGGGCGCUAAUACCGCAUACGUCCUGAGGGAGCAACGGGUGGAUCCUCGGACCUCACGCUAUCAGAUGAGCCUAGGUCGGAUUAGCUAGUUGGGGGGGUAAAGGCCUACCAAGGCGACGAUCCGUAACUGGUCUGAGAGGAUGAUCAGUCACACUGGAACUGAGACACGGUCCAGACUCCUACGGGAGGCAGCAGUGGGGAAUAUUGGACAAUGGGCGAAAGCCUGAUCCAGCCAUGCCGCGUGUGUGAAGAAGGUCUUCGGAUUGUAAAGCACUUUAAGUUGGGAGGAAGAGCAGUAAGUUAAUACCUCGCUGUUUUGACGUUACCAAAAGAAUAAGCACCGGCUAACUUCGUG
rnacentral:rRNA from 1 species